AUUGAACGCUGGCGGCAGGCCUAACACAUGCAAGUCGAACGAGUGGCGGACGGGUGAGUAAUGUCUGGGAAACUGCCUGAUGGAGGGGGAUAACUACUGGAAACGGUAGCUAAUACCGCAUACCAUCGGAUGUGCCCAGAUUGGAUUAGCUAGUAGGUGGGGUAAAGGCUCACCUAGGCGACGAUCCCUAGCUGGUCUGAGAGGAUGAUCGGCCAAAUUGGGACUGGUACAAGGCCCAGACUCCUACGGGAGGCAGCAGUGGGGAAUCUUCCGCAAUGGACGAAAGUCUGACGGAGCAACGCCGCGUGAGUGAUGACGGCAUUCGGGUUGUAAAGCUCGUUAAUCGGGAAGACGGUACCGGAAUAGAAAGCCACGGCUAACUACGUGCCAGCAGCCGCGGUAAUUC
rnacentral:rRNA from 1 species